rnacentral:lncRNA from 1 species
UGUGAAAAGUUUAUACGUUGGAGUCUGACUUUGAGUCCCAGUUUUCCCAUGGACUGGUCAUAUGACCUUUGGAAAAUAACUUAACCUCCAUGCCUCCUCAGGUGCCUCAUCUGUGAAAUGGGGUUAAUAAAAUACCUACCUCAAAUAAAACAAUGCAAGGAAUUCCCUACAACAAAUGCCUGGCACAUAGUAAGUUCUACCCAAGUGUUUAUUAUUAUAACAAAUGUGUAAACAUUUAACAACUCCCUUAAAUUGUUUUUUAUUACUUGCUAUUUUGAAUAGUGCUUCAAUGAAUAUCCUUGUGAUAUGGUUUGGCUGUGUCCCCACCUAAAUCUUAACUUGAGUUGUAACUCCCACUAUUACCAUGUAUCAUGGGAGAAACCUGGUGGGAGGUGAUAGAAUUACAGGGGUGGGUCUUUCCUGUGCUGUUCUCUUGAUAGUGAAUGAGUCUCAUGAGAUCUGAUGGCUUUAAAAACGGAAGUUUCUCUGCAGAAGCUAUCUCUUUGCCUGCUGCCAGCCAUGUAAGAUGUGACUUGCUCCUCCCAGCCUUCUGCCAUGAUUGUGAGGCCUCCCCAGCCAUGUGGAACUGCCAAAUUUCUAGAAGUGAAAUUUCAGAAGCAAAAACCUUAGCCUUUGGUAGCUGCAACUACAUUGCCUUCUACAGUUGUUAUUUGUAAUUCUCCCAGCAGUAUAAGGGAGCACAUGUUAUCCGGAUCCUCUCUGGUUUUGAAAAAGCUAUUCUUUUUCUGUCUGGUGGACAGGAAAUGGCAUCUCACCCUCACUUUGAUUUGAUGGAUUAACAUUUUCAUCAUCGAGGUAGGUGAAGACAAGGUAGGUGUUGAUCAAGUUUAUCCAAUAGCAAUCUGGGUAGCUGGAUCAAAGUCUCAGCAUGUUGGCUAAUGCAGAAUGUAAUAAAAAGGCAUUUAGAAGGGAUCAGCACAAUGUCUCAUAAGGUAGGUUCCAAUGCUCAGCAGGUCAAGUUCGAGAAGGGGUGGUGGCCAAGCAACAGUGUGCAUGGAACUAACUUGGAGGUUCCAAGUACAGCCAGGGUGGGAUCAGGUUCCUAAAUUAGCUCACAUAAGCGUAUGCUGCCCAGGACAAGGGGAGUCCAGGGUCACACUGCGAGUUUGGAGGAAAGGUCAACUCUCUUUUGCUGAGGGUCUGGAGCAAGGCUAGACAUAGUUUUGGACAUAUUAUGGGGACAUUUUGGACCCAUCUCCUGUUCUAAUGAACAUCUACAAUGAAUUCUAGAAUAGUGGGUGAGUACUUGAAUGACAAACUUAGAAAUUCUGUGAUUGUUAAAGUUCUCCAAGGUUAAGGGGGAGGAAAAAGCACCGAGGCCGAUGGGUGUUUCCUGGAGCAAGCAACAAUAUUUUUCACUAUAGGGGAAGAAUAAUUUUUUUAAAAAGUGGUUACAAUACAUAAUCGUAUGAUCAUUACCACAAUCAACAUGUAGAAUAGUUCCAUCACACCCCUAAAUUUCCUUGCUUCCCAUUAUAGACAAUCUGUUCCCCCAGUUCCAAUCCCUGGCAACCACUGAUGUGUUUUCUGUCCCUUUCAUAUUUUCCAGAGUGGAAAAAUAAAUGGAACAAUCCAGUAUCCUGUAUGGUCUGCUAUCUGCUACUGGUUUCACUCAGCACUGGAUACUUGUUGACCAUGUGGCUAUGUAUCAGUAGCUCAUUUUCUUGUAUUGCAGAGUAAUAUCUUAUGGGACAGAGUGCCACACAGUUCAUGUAUCCGUUCAUCCCUCGAAGAACAUGUGGGCUGUUUCAAAUUUUGGUGAUUAUAAAUAAAGCUGCUAUACA